rfam:Gossypium hirsutum cultivar TM-1 chromosome 15, whole genome shotgun sequence
AACCCAUGGUGAUGGCACAUUCUCAAUAAAUCCUUAUAACUCUCUCAUGCAUGAUAUAGAGUCUCUAAGUCAAUUUACACAAAGGAAGAGAUAUCAUUCCUCAACUU